AUGUGGCGUCGACGAAGCACUACACCUGGCUUGCUUGAUGGCGCGCGCGUGCGUGCUUCGAUGCGCAGCGCUUCGUUGAGCUGGCCGGACCGCGGAAAUCUCCGGAGCCGGAGCCGAAGGAGGCGACGAAAUGAUGCUGCUACGGCUGCAUCCUCGGAGCCAACAGCUGCCCCUCGCCGACCUCAGCAACCUCCAGUGUCCGCCAUGAGCUCCGUGCAGGACCCCUUCUACAUCGUCCGGGAGGAGAUCCAGGGUGCAGAUGCUGGCCUUCAUUCUUCAAUAGUUGGGUGCAUAGGAGCUUUAUGA
rnacentral:rRNA from 1 species